rnacentral:rRNA from 1 species
UUCCUACGGGGGGCAGCAGUGGGGAAUAUUGCACAAUGGGGGAAACCCUGAUGCAGCGACGCCGCGUGAGCGAAGAAGUAUUUCGGUAUGUAAAGCUCUAUCAGCAGGGAAGAAAAAUGACGGUACCUGAGUAAGAAGCACCGGCUAAAUACGUGCCAGCAGCCGCGGUAAUACGUAUGGUGCAAGCGUUAUCCGGAUUUACUGGGUGUAGAGGGAGCGUAGGUGGCAGGGCAAGUCAGAUGUGAAAACCCGGGGCUCAACUCCGGGAGUGCAUUUGAAACUGUCCAGCUAGAGUGCAGGAGGGG